UGGAGGUUUAGCUCAGUUGGGAGAGCAUCUGCCUUACAAGCAGAGGGUCAGCGGUUCGAGCCCGUUAACCUCCAU
rnacentral:tRNA from 1 species